GGGCAUCAACUUCGGUAGAAGUUGUGACACUGCUCCUCUCCAAAAUGUAUACAGCAGGUCAAAAAGGGUCUGAAUACUUAUGUAAUUGUGAUAUUUCAAUUUUUAAUUUGUAAUACAUUUAUAAAAACCUGUUUUUGCUUUGUCAUUAUGGGUUAUUGUGUGUAGAUUGAUGAGGGGAAAAAAUUGAAUCAAUUUUAGAAUAAGGCAGUAAUGUAACAAAAUGUGGAAAAAGUCAAGGGGUCUGAAUACUUUCCGAAUGCACUGUAAAUGGAUGCAUUAAGACGCGCUGAGCUCUGGGCAUAUUAUCUCAUUUCAUCAUCAACCACGUUCUAAACUAAUACAGGAAAUGUUUCUUUUUCAAUGAGACAGCACCUUCCAAGCAGCUACCACAGCGAAUGAACAAAAUAAAUGGUAAAGAAAGUCUAAAGAGAUGAAGACGAUUCACAAUGGUCUAUGUUUGUCCAUCAUAACAAUUAUCUUUACAAUUGAGUCUAUGUUGACAAAUGUGAGAGGAAAUGAACUGGAAAGCAAUGAAGAACCAGAACUGCUUUGGUGGACAUGAAGGACUGAAGAAGAGUAACUGAUAGAUGAAGAGAGCAGGACACCAGGGGAAUACUGAAGAUAAAUGGCAUCUACUAAUCUACUAAUCUAAUUCACUGUUUGGGCAUACACAAUGUGAACAACAAUUUAGUAAUGUGUGUUGGAAGAGGGUCCACCCUAUGUUCCCUGAGCCCUAUGUUCCCUGAGCCCUAUGUUCCCACAGCCCUAUGUUCCCACAGCCCUACGUUCCCUCAGCCCUACGUUCCCUCAGCCCUACGUUCCCUCAGCCCUACGUUCCCUCAGCCCUACGUUCCCUCAGCCCUAUGCAGUGGCAAUUUUAGAAUGUAA
rnacentral:lncRNA from 1 species